UGCAGUCUCCUCGUGAGAUUCUUAUAUUGUAUUAUUCUUCCUAAUACCUAACGAGGGAGAGUCCAACCCACCAAACAUGCCUAGGCCACCCAGAACACGUGGCAAUGUCACGGUCACGCGGUGACCACCUCGUUGGAUGCCAGUUAACGCGCUCUGAAGUUGGGGCCUUGCACACCAUCCAAACCUUGACAUCUAUCCACCACACCAUGUAUUUUUGAUUAAAUAGAUACUUAUGUACCUAGAAAUUAUUUUUGAAAAAAACAAAGAGCAAACUAUAAGGCAGGUGCAGUUAAAAUUUGACCCGCUUCUAACUGAAUCGGUGUAAAUUUGUGUUUUUCAUGAGAGGUGGCUCAAAGCUUUUGACACCCAACCAUUCCAUCAAUUAUAGAUUAAAUA
rnacentral:lncRNA from 1 species